rnacentral:lncRNA from 1 species
UCCUCUAGUAGUCAUUUUGCAAUUCCAGAAAAAAAAAACACGCAUAAAAGACUGAGCAGGAAUUUUGAGAAUGCAUCAUGUUUAUGGGGACAAUUGGAGUUCAGGACUCAACAAGGUUUGGGAGCUGGGUUAAACCUCUGUAUGUGCGGUAGAGAUUUCUGAGGCUGAACAUUAAAAGUAAGGGUAAAGUGGGAAUGUACUAACUCUCAUAGGGAUUACAGCCCAUCAUUGCACCAUCUCAAUUGCUGGAAUACUGUUAAAGUUCUACAUUGAUGAAUUAAAUAAAAUAUUUAAAAGACAAAGAUUUUCAAAGUUAACAGAAAUCAAAACUGCACUCUAUAGUAAUUACAAGGUCAUAUUAAUAUAUAUGGAAAUGUUAAAAGUAAAAAGAUAAAAAAUAUUUAUCAAAUCUUAGUAAUUAGGUUUUCUAUAACAGUUCUUGAUAGAAAACUAUACCUAUUAGCUGCAGAAUACACAUUCUUCUCAAGUACGCACAGAACAUUUUAAAAUUUGGCCUAGUGAUAAAGUGAUCACGGUGUAAUUAAACUAGAAACUUCUAAACAAAAAGAAAAGUGGAGACUCUUAUACUUUAAAAAAUUAGGACAUCUACUUUUUAAUAAUUUAUUAGUGCAAGACAAAAUUA